GGCACUACGCUAGGUGUUUUACAUGCAUAAGCUCAUCUAAUUCCCUCCAAAACACAAUUCAGCAUAAAUUAAUAUCAUUGUGGGAAAAAAAAAAAAAGACAUUGGCUCAGAGAGUCUACGUAACUUGGCCAAACUCAUCUGGAUAAUAGUAAAGAAGUCAGAUUUAGAAUUUCUUUUCCUGAUCCCAAAUCUCAUCCCUUUCGACUCUAUUAUACUGGCUUUCUCAUCUGUGUCAGGACUAGGAGAACAGUUAUGUGAAGAAAUAGGCAUCUUUGGUAUGAAGCAUAUCAUCCACCUCAACUGAGAAGCAUCUUAAUUUAUUUCCUCCUGAGGCAACUUCCAGUCCCUAAGGAAGUCCAGGAUCAGGCCUGCACGUGAAAGCAAGAAAGUAACUAGAUGCAGUCGGUGGAAGCCGAGGUAUGAGGGCAGAGGCAUGGGCUGAUCCCAACGUAGCUUUGUGAAAUGGGAAUGAACUAUCAGAAACAGAAGGCAGUUUUCCUUUGAAAGUCUGUCACAUUCACAAUGAGAGUGAUGAAAGACUUUGCUUCCUUGCCUUUUAGGUGACUUCAAUAUGGCCAGACUUUGAAAUCUAAUACUGUACUGAAAUUUGUAUUGAAUGUGGUGGUGCGAUAUUGAACUAUAAAGAAGGGGCUGGAACAGUACUUUUCAAAUACUUGCUGCUCAGAAUCCCUUUGCCCUUUUCCACUUACAGUUGCCAUUCUUGCCUGCAAUACCCAGCGAAGAGAUCCCUGUGGUCAAUCUUCAUGGUAAGUGUAGCCAAGAUCAGGGCCAUGUGGCACUGGUAGGCUUCCUAAGUGACCCAAUAGGGGUUUCCCUAUGGAUUCAAACUAGUUCCCCACAAGUCCCUGUGGCCUCUCUUCUGCAAUCUCUAAGCCUAGGCUGCAAUGUAAGAGUAUGUAGUGUAGUGUAAGAAAUUCCCUAAGCUAAGAUACUCUUAUUCCAGGCUUUUUUAUUUUUUAAAGAUUUUAUUUAUUUAUUCAUGACAGACACACUUAAAGAGGCAGAGACAUAGGCA
rnacentral:lncRNA from 12 species